rnacentral:rRNA from 1 species
UGUUUAUAAAUUAAUUAUAAAUACAACCUGCUCAAUGAAUAUUUCAAUAGCCGCAAAUUUCUGUGCUAAGGUAGCAUAAUCAUUUGUUUUUUAAUUAAAAACUAGAAUGAAAGGUUAAACAUUUAAUAUCUAUAUAUAACUAUAUUUAUUUAAAUUAUAUUAAAUAUAAAAAUAUAUUUAUUUUUUAAAAAGACGAUAAGACCCUAUUGAACUUUACUUUAUGUUUAGCUGGGGCAGCUAAUUAAUUAAAAUUUUAAUAAUUUAAAUAUAUAAUAAAUGACCCAAUUUUAAUUGAUUUAUUAAUCAAGUUACCAUAGGGAUAACAGCGUUAUAUUUUUUAAAAGUUCUUAUUAAAAAAAAAAUUUGCGACCUCGAUGUUGAAUAAAUUUCCUUUAUAAAGCAAAAUUUAUAUAAGUAGGUCUGUUCGACCUUUAAUAAUUUACA